rnacentral:rRNA from 1 species
UUGACCUCAAAUCAGGUAGGACUACCCGCUGAACUUAAGCAUAUCAAUAAGCGGAGGAAAAGAAACCAACAGGGAUUGCCUUAGUAACGGCGAGUGAAGCGGCAAAAGCUCAAAUUUGAAAUCGGCCACCAGGUCGAGUUGUAAUUUGUAGAUUGUAUCUUGAGAGCGGAUUAAAGUCUGUUGGAACACAGCGCCUUAGAGGGUGACAGCCCCGUAAAAUCUAUUCUCAUUGUAAGAUACUUUCGAAGAGUC